UUACUACUCCCUCUGUCCGAAAAUAGUUGUCAUCAAAAUGGAUUAAAGGAGAUGUAUUUAGACGUCUAGAACAUCUCUUUUAAUCCAUUUUGAUGACAAGUAUUUUCGGACGGAGAAAAUAUAAG
rfam:Triticum aestivum genome assembly, contig: Triticum_aestivum_CS42_TGACv1_scaffold_392607_5AS